AUGGAUGGUCAACCAACCUUCAGCAAGGGCGUGCAGUUGUCAGUGCAGACUUCCUUCGUUUGCUGUGCCCCCUACUCUGUUUUGUCCUUUUCUUUUCUUUCUUUUUUCUUUUCUGGAGAAGACUAUUCUCUUUUGCUGCUCCCAAAAUAUCUGUUUUUAUUUUUGCCGUAUAUAAUUUCCAAAACACCAUUAUCAUCGUUUGGCCCCCCAAAGUCAAGUCAUGAUCAUUUGCUUGGCUCCCCUUGGUCUGGUCCACAGGGGAAAAUGCUCGGAUAUUUCACAAGCAAAUCAAGGGCCACAAUAAUGGACGCGCCUAAUCUGCACCCGAGCUCAUAUGCUCCCGCAUGA
rnacentral:rRNA from 1 species